CCUACGGGUGGCAGCAGUGGGGAAUAUUGCACAAUGGGGGAAACCCUGAUGCAGCGACGCCGCGUGAGUGAAGAAGUCUUUCGGUCUGUAAAGCUCUAUCAGCAGGGAAGAAAAAAGACGGUACCUGACUAAGCAGCCCCGGCUAACUACGUGCCAGCAGCCGCGGUCAUACGUAGGGGGAAAGCGUUAUCCGGAUUUACAGGGUGUAAGGGGAGCGUAGACGGGUAUAAAAGUCGGAAGUGAAAUACCCGGGCUCAACCUGGGAACUGCAUUGGAUACUGGAUGGCUGGAGUGCUGGAGAGGUAAGCGGAAUUCGUGGUGUAGCGGUGAAAUGCGUAGAUAUUAGGAGGAACACCAGUGGCGAAGGCGGCUUACUGGACAGUAACUGACGUUGAGGCUCGAAAGCGUGGGGAGCAAACAGGAUUAGAUACCCUUGUAGUC
rnacentral:rRNA from 1 species